UACGUCGUUGUAUCAUGUGUUAGCUUGACGCCGGUCCGCUGUGAUCACAGAGGCUUCGUUUCCUCUGAGAUAACGCCCAGACUCGGCUUUCUCUGGCCCGUAAUCCGACUAAAAUGACAGAUAAGAGGAUUUAACGGAGAGUAACGGACCCCCGGGGCUUGAGAAGUCUUUGCCAUGCUCACUCGACCGCUGACACUGACCAAGAGGGAAGGCAAAAGGCCAGACCUCGUCACGGUAACCCCACCCCCUGUCCUCCCAUUGGCUUAUGAUGGUGAUGACGCCAACAAGCCCCAAAGCGGAGUUUUCUCUCAUCCUGCACCUCUUUGGACCUGCGCCUCCUCCUCCUCCUCUUCACCUCCUUGCUUUACCUCCUCUGCUUCUUCAACUCCUCUUAACACCUUCCUCUCCUC